AUGGAUGAAAAACUCUAUGCAGAUUAUUCAAAUGCUACAACAAACACAAUUUGGAUUGGAUAUCUCAUUCUGGAAUGUUUUCUGCUUCUGUGGCCCUACGUUUCGUUCUGUCAAAACUUUUCUGAAGCUAUGGAAAUUUGCGAAGAUCGUACUGAUGUGCUUCACUACAAACAGACCGAAUUAGUUCUGUUACAAGGGAAGUUAACAAAAAAUACGUUUACUGCCUACGGACUACUGGAGCUAAACUGGACUUUAAUAUACAUAAUGGUUGCAUCAAUUUCUACGCAUCUUGUUUAUUUAAUACAGUUUAAACAGAUGAUAAACUAAAACCAUUUUUGGUUGUGUAUAUUUUGCUUUUCUUCUAGUUCUUUUUGUUUUCACUGUGUAGAUUGGUAGGUUUAACGUCUAACACAAAGAACAAGAUCCCAACCUUGCCAGCAUGAUAAUUCGUUAAUUAAUUAAUAAUUAAACACAACCAAAUUUCUUAAACUGGAAUACUUAU